GACGAACGCUGGCGGCGUGCUUAACACAUGCAAGUCGAACGGAAAGGCCCUGCUUAUGUGGGGUGCUCGAGUGGCGAAGGGGUGAGUAACACGCGAGUAACCUGCCCUUGACUGUGGGAUAACUUCAGGAAGCUGGGGCUAAUACCGGAUAGGAGCUCCUGCUGCAUGGUGGGGGUUGGAAAGUUUCGGCGGUUGGGGAUGGACUCGCGGCUUAUCAGCUUGUUGGAGGGGUAGUGGCUUAGCAAGGCUUGGAAGCGUAGCAUGGCUGAGAGGGUGACCGGCCACGUUGCGCCUGGAAUGCGACACAGACUCCUCCCGGACGCAGCGGUGGAGUAGAUUGCACAAUGCGAGGAAGCCUGAUGUGGCAACGCCGCGUGGGGGAUGACGUCCUUCGCGUUGUAUUCCACUGUCGCCUGUGACGAGGCGUGAGUGACGGUAAUGGGUAAAGAAGCACCGGCUAACUACGUG
rnacentral:rRNA from 1 species